rnacentral:rRNA from 1 species
CCUACGGGAGGCAGCAGUAGGGAAUCUUCCACAAUGGGCGAAAGCCUGAUGGAGCAACGCCGCGUGGGUGAAGAAGGUCUUCGGAUCGUAAAACCCUGUUGUUAGAGAAGAAAGUGCGGGAGAGUAACUGUUCACGUUUCGACGGUAUCUAACCAGAAAGCCACGGCUAACUACGUGCCAGCAGCCGCGGUAAUACGUAGGUGGCAAGCGUUAUCCGGAUUGAUUGGGCGUAAAGGGAACGCAGGCGGUCUUUUAAGUAUGGUGGGAAAGACUUCGGCUUAACCGGAGUAGUGCAUUGGAAUCUGGGAGACUUGAGUGCAGAAGAGGAGAGUGGAAUUCGAUGUGUAGCGGUGAAAUGCGUAGAUAUAUGGAAGAACACCAGUGGCGAAAGCGGCUCUCUGGUCUGUAACUGACGCUGAGGUUCGAAAGCGUGGGUAGCAAACAGGAUUAGAUACCCCAGUAGUC